rnacentral:rRNA from 1 species
CAGUCGCCGCGGUAAUACAGAGGGUGCGAGCGUUAAUCGGAUUUACUGGGCGUAAAGCGUCGUAGGCGGCUUCUUAAGUCGGAUGUGAAAUCCCUGAGCUUAACUUAGGAAUUGCAUUCGAUACUGGGAAGCUAGAGUAUGGGAGAGGAUGGUAGAAUUCCAGGUGUAGCGGUGAAAUGCGUAGAGAUCUGGAGGAAUACCGAUGGCGAAGGCAGCCAUCUGGCCUAAUACUGACGCUGAGGUACGAAAGCAUGGGGAGCAAACAGGAUUAGAUACCCCAGUAGUCCCUGUCUCUUAUACA